GUGUGGCGGGAUAUCCUCCUAAACAUUUUUGAACUCCUCCGAGUUCCACUUUUAUUAUUCUCUGCAGCAAUUUCCUUCAUAGGCUAGAAAAAAAAAAUUGAGAAAUAAAAAAAUACAAAUCCCUUUUUGUAACAGAUUUCCUUUCACCUCUCCUAAAAACCUAUGAAAAUACUACAGCUUUAUUCUCAACCUUUUUCCCGACAAAGAGAAUCCAGAUGUUCCCUUUUGUUUGCCCUAAAGGGGGAAAUGCUAGUUCACCUUCCCUCCCCCCUUCCCCCCAAAUAACUCAACCCCCUUCUAGCACAUGUUGUGUAUUCAAAGCUCUAAAUGGUCUCCUGCCUUUUAUCCAGGGAAAUAAUUGCUGCAUUUUUAAACCAAUCCUGCCAGGCAGUCAGGACAAACAGUCUUUUUAGAAGUUGGCCCCAGAGUUUCCCUGUCUCCCUUGGGGCGUCUUCCAGACAACGGCAGGGGAGAGGGGACUGGACAACCCGGAGACCUGCAGCUCUCUGACAUCUGGACACUUGAGGAGGAGGAAGAUGACUUGUUGGCCAGGUGGAAAUGAACUUGAAGUCUUUCUUGAAAAAAUUGCAUUUGUCAAGGUGAUUGCCUGAAGAGUAGCUGGCAAAGGGGCACUUGGCUUGAGACAAGAUUGGAGGUCCCUGGCUGCCAACUGCUUCCUCUGGACCGCCUGAGUUCCAGUCACGGGACAUCUCUUCUCCCCCGACUCUCCCGAGGAUAACGAGUCAUUAAAGACCAUGUGUAGUUGGUGUCGCCAUGUAGAAAUAGACAAGAAUCCUCAACCCUUUAAGACAGACAUGAAAUAUAUUCAAAUUAUCAUGAAAUGGUCUUUAAAAGAGACCUCAUUCUAGCUUUUGAUUAUUUUGGAGAGUAUUUUUAAGUAGAAUGAGCAAAGCUCUCCUUAUAGACCUAAUAAAAUUUCACAUUAGUUAACUGCUGGUUUUCUACCCCUAACAUGCAUGAAAGGGGACUUGCUAUGAUCCACCCAGAACCCCCUCUACAAGCCCAUGUUCACCGUGCUUCCUGAUUCUUCUGUCACAUGAAAGAUUCGUCCACGAGCUACUCCUUUUCAAACUUCACCCAUCUGAUGUUAAGGAUGGUGAAGAUGAAUUAGAAUAGUUCUGCUGCUGGGUGGGGGUUU